GAUGAACGCUGGCGGCGUGCUUAACACAUGCAAGUCGAACGGAAAGGCCGAAGCUUGCUUCGGUACUCGAGUGGCGAACGGGUGAGUAACACGUGGGUGAUCUGCCCUGCACUUUGGGAUAAGCCUGGGAAACUGGGUCUAAUACCAGAUAGGACCACGUCUUGGAUGGUGUAGUGGAAAGUUUUUUCGGUGUGGGAUGAGCUCGCGGCCUAUCAGCUUGUUGGUGGGGUAAUGGCCUACCAAGGCGUCGACGGGUAGCCGGCCUGAGAGGGUGUACGGCCACAUUGGGACUGAGAUACGGCCCAGACUCCUACGGGAGGCAGCAGUGGGGAAUAUUGCACAAUGGGCGCAAGCCUGAUGCAGCGACGCCGCGUGGGGGAUGACGGCCUUCGGGUUGUAAACUCCUUUCGCCAGGGACGAAGCGUAAGUGACGGUACCUGGAUAAGAAGCACCGGCUAACUACGUGCCAGCAGCCGCGGUAAUACGUAGGGUGCGAGCGUUGUCCGGAAUUACUGGGCGUAAAGAGCUCGUAGGUGGUUUGUCGCGUCGUUUGUGUAAUACCGCAGCUUAACUGCGGGGUUGCAGGCGAUACGGGCAUAACUUGAGUGCUGUAGGGGAGACUGGAAUUCCUGGUGUAGCGGUGGAAUGCGCAGAUAUCAGGAGGAACACCGAUGGCGAAGGCAGGUCUCUGGGCAGUAACUGACGCUGAGGAGCGAAAGCAUGGGUAGCGAACAGGAUUAGAUACCCUGGUGGUCCAUGCCGUAAACGGUGGGCGCUAGGUGCGAGUCCCUUCCACGGGGUUCGUGCCGUAGCUAACGCAUUAAGCGCCCCGCCUGGGGAGUACGGCCGCAAGGCUAAAACUCAAAGGAAUUGACGGGGGCCCGCACAAGCGGCGGAGCAUGUGGAUUAAUUCGAUGCAACGCGAAGAACCUUACCUGGGCUUGACAUGCACCGGAUCGCUGCAGAGAUGUAGUUUCCCUUGUGGCUGGUGUACAGGUGGUGCAUGGUUGUCGUCAGCUCGUGUCGUGAGAUGUUGGGUUAAGUCCCGCAACGAGCGCAACCCUUGUCUUAUGUUGCCAGCAUUUGGUUGGGGACUCAUGAGAGACUGCCGGGGUUAACUCGGAGGAAGGUGGGGAUGACGUCAAAUCAUCAUGCCCCUUAUGUCCAGGGCUUCACACAUGCUACAAUGGUCGGUACAACGCGCAGCUACUUCGUGAGGAGGCGCUAAUCGCUGAAAGCCGGUCUUAGUUCGGAUUGGGGUCUGCAACUCGACCCCAUGAAGUCGGAGUCGCUAGUAAUCGUAGAUCAGCAACGCUGCGGUGAAUACGUUCCCGGGCCU
rnacentral:rRNA from 1 species